rnacentral:rRNA from 1 species
CCUACGGGAGGCAGCAGUGAGGAAUAUUGGUCAAUGGGCUUACGCCUGAACCAGCCAAGUCGCGUGAGGGAAGACUGCCCUAUGGGUUGUAAACCUCUUUUGUCAGGGAGCAACGCCGGCUACGUGUAGCCGGACUGAGAGUACCUGAAGAAAAAGCAUCGGCUAACUCCGUGCCAGCAGCCGCGGUAAUACGGAGGAUGCGAGCGUUAUCCGGAUUUAUUGGGUUUAAAGGGUGCGUAGGCGGAAUGCCAAGUCAGCGGUAAAAGCGCGGGGCUCAACCUCGCUCCGCCGUUGAAACUGGCGUUCUUGAGAGGGCGAGAAGUAUGCGGAAUGCGUGGUGUAGCGGUGAAAUGCAUAGAUAUCGCGCAGAACUCCGAUUGCGAAGGCAGCAUACCGGCGCCCAACUGACGCUGAAGCACGAAAGCGUGGGUAUCGAACAGGAUUAGAUACCCCAGUAGUC